rnacentral:lncRNA from 1 species
AAAGGUCGGUGAAUUUGUUUAUUGUUUUCCUUACACACGUGUAACUGUCAUUGGCUUCUUCACGUCGCCUCUUUCCACGUUACCUUUCAUCUUUACCAAAUCGAUUAAACGUCUCCAUUCUUCUUGAACCCUAAAUCGAUAAUCAGAAAUCGAUCGCAUGACAACAACUGCGCUCAAACCUGGCACCCAUCUCCUCCUUCGCAAGCCCUAAGUUCUCCUUCUAUUUGACCACCAGAUCUCCUCAGCGUGUCAUCCUUAAACUCGGGUUUGCCGAGCCUCGAUUUUGCCUUCAUACAAUGGGCAGAAGUUGGAUUGUUGAUGGUAGAGCUAUUGCAUGAAAGGUUGAAACCUGUUGUCUGCCUUUGGUAAAUAAAGUCAAAGACUGGAGCAAUUCAGGAUUGACCAUGAUGCCAUUUCAGGAUUGAUAGUAGUGAUGUAUCAGUAGAGUAGUGGUCUGGGCUUCCCAUUGGUGUGAAAUUUGAACCCACUGAUCUGAUCUUGAGCUCUUAGAACAUUCGGCAGCCAAAUGUGGUGUGGGGAAUCAAAAACCACACCAAUUAAUUGAUGAGUUCAUCCCUACACUUGAUGUAGAUGAAGGAAUAUGUUCCAAACAUCCUCCUGAAAAUCUUCCUGGGUAGUCACGUUGAGAAAAUAUUAUAUGGACUCAGCUAUAUAGGAGCAACUAACUAAUGCAUCAUUGUUGGGAGUGAGAUGGACAAACUUGCAAUUGAAGAACCAGGUUUAAAGAACCGUGGUGUUCCUCAAAAAGUUUCUUACAAGGAUUUACCAUCUCAAAAACAGGUUUUAGUUUAAGUUCAAAUUAGAUCAUUUUAUAUUAAUAUGUUAGAUAGUAACAUAAAGUUUUGGUAAAUAUUAGGAUUAUGGAUUUGAGAGUUAUACAGUUUAAUAAAUACAUAUCGGGUAUUAAUGUGUUUACUUAAUAUCUUGAUUUGCCACUGUGUGUUGUCAACUUGUCAUUUGUUUUAGACUCCCACAUUGCCCGAGAGAAUUUCACUAGCAAGAUUGGUAUGCGCUGGUAUUGUAUGUCGUACAACUCCUGUAAACAUAAAACAUGAAGUACUGUAUGUUUUUAAGACUAUAAUGUCCGCAAUUAUAAACAACUAAGACGUCGCAACAACUAAGACGUCGCCGCCGCAACGCGCGGCCUAUGACAACAACCUAGUUCUAAAAUGGAAUAUAAUUUGUACUACUACAUUCAUGUUUUUUAUUUAGUCUUUUUUUUAAUUAAUGUCAUGCUAUUUUAUAUUUUUUUAUUUUAACGAAAUAGUAACUAAAUGAAUGUGU